rnacentral:rRNA from 1 species
CAGUCGCCACGGGAAUACAGAGGGUGCGAGCGUUAAUCGGAUUUACUGGGCGUAAAGCGUGCGUAGGCGGCUUUUUAAGUCGGAUGUGAAAUCCCUGAGCUUAACUUAGGAAUUGCAUUCGAUACUGGGAAGCUAGAGUAUGGGAGAGGAUGGUAGAAUUCCAGGUGUAGCGGUGAAAUGCGUAGAGAUCUGGAGGAAUACCGAUGGCGAAGGCAGCCAUCUGGCCUAAUACUGACGCUGAGGUACGAAAGCAUGGGGAGCAAACAGGAUUAGAUACCCGAGUAGUCCCUGUCUCUUAUAU